AUGGGAAGAGUCGAGCCAGCGGGUGCUGGUGGGGGUGGCGACGGAACCGGGAAGACCUCCUGGCCGGAGGUGGUGGGGUGGCCGGUGCAGAACGCGGCUGUACGGAUCAAAGGCGAUAGGCCCGAUGUCUUGUUCAUUAUCGGCGGUACAGGCGGCCAAUGGCCGCCAGGCCACAACCCCUCGCGUGUCAUCAUCCUCUCCAAUGAAGCUGGCGUCGUUGUGAAGACCCCUGUCGUUGGCUAG
rnacentral:rRNA from 1 species